UGGGGAAUAUUGCACAAUGGGCGAAAGCCUGAUGCAGCAACGCCGCGUGAGUGAUGAAGACCUUCGGGUUGUAAAGCUCUGUCUUUUGGGGCGAACGUGAGUAUGGUGAACAAUCAUAGUCAGUGACGGUACCAAAGGAGGAAGCCACGGCUAACUACGUGCCAGCAGCCGCGGUAAUACGUAGGUGGCAAGCGUUGUCCGGAAUUAUUGGGCGUAAAGAGCGCGUAGGCGGGAUAGUCAGUCUGUUGUAAAAGUGCGGGGCUCAACCCCGUGAUGGCAAUGGAAACAGCUAUUCUUGAGUGCAGGAGAGGAAAGUGGAAUUCCCAGUGUAGCGGUGAAAUGCGUAGAUAUUGGGAGGAACACCAGUGGCGAAGGCGACUUUCUGGACUGUGUCUGACGCUGAGGCGCGAAAGCCAGGGGAGCGAACGGGAUUAGAUACCCCGGUAGUCCUGGCCGUAAACGAUGGGUACUAGGUGUGGGGGGUAUCGACCCCUUCCGUGCCGGAGUUAACGCAAUAAGUACCCCGCCUGGGGAGUACGGUCGCAAGACUGAAACUCAAAGGAAUUGACGGGGUCAUAGCUGUUUCCU
rnacentral:rRNA from 1 species